rnacentral:lncRNA from 1 species
CUUUCCCUCAGAAAACAACUUAAACACUAGGCAGCCCCCUGUUCUUCUAGCUGUUCUUUCUGGAAGAUUUUGUGAGAACACAGUCUCUCUUCCUCCUAACCUUCCCAGUCCUAAUUCAGGUUGCUCUUCUCGUCCAAUGUGUCCCCCACCCCAUUUUCAGACAUUUCUCGUUUAAAAGUCCCCCACCUCCACUCAUCAUUUUUGAGUAUGAUGUAGGGUUCCCCCCGCACCCCCACAGAAGAGAGGCUCUUGGCUUGAGCAAAGGCACUUGGAUAAUUUAAACAAACAAACUCUUGACGAGAGGAUCAGGACUUUGUUCCCCACCCUGCCUCUUUCCUCACUGGGAACUUUCCUGUCAGCGUUUCAGAAGAGUGGAGAACAGGCCUACGUGAAUGCUCGAACGUCUGAGAACAGGCUUACGUGAAUGCUCGCACGUCUGUGCAAUCCCGUCUGGCUGGCAGCUCCAAUAGUGCUUACACUCUUCAUCUCCUGACGACGCAAUUGGACAGAGAAAGUCAGGAAGUGAAGUUUAUGGCCAAGAAGGCAACCCACAUUCAAUGUGACUGACAGCAGAAGCUGGAAGGAGGAGUGUGCGCUUGUUCCUUGGAGAGAGUAGUGAAUAAAAAUGACGAGGACUCCGACAGGAACUUGGAAGGUCAGACAAAUGGGUGUAAAUCCUAGGGGAUUGAUUUGCUCUGUUUUAACCUCCAACCACUGGAGGAAAGAGGGGGUGUGCUACGGUGAGCUUUAACAUCACAGCCUCACACAGCCAAGAGAUGAAGAGCUUCAGAAAGGACGACACCACCAAAACCCAAAGCAAC